rnacentral:tRNA from 1 species
AUUCUACUCGCUUAGUGGUAGAGCGCUUGCUUAGCAUGCAUGAAGCCCUGGGUUUGAUCCUUGGUACCAUA